GGCGGUUUCAAACUGCUGCAAAAACAAAAAAAUAAAAAAUCAAAUAGCAACGGUUUCAAAACUGCUGCAAAAACAAAAAAAUAAAAAAUCAAAUAGUAACGGUUUCAAACCGUUGCAAAACUGGCUAAAAUUUGUGUUUUGCGUUUCGCUUAUUGCAACGGUUUUAGAACCGUUGCAACACAUACUGUGGCCGUUUGUGUAACGGUUUUUCAAACCGUUGCUAUUUGAGCUACCAACGCUCAAAUCUGCAACAGUUUGGCAACUGUUGCUAAAAAUGCUGCAACAUUUAAAAAAUGUUGCUAAAUCGUCCCAAAACUGUUGCUAAACACAUUUUUUCUUGUAGUG
rnacentral:lncRNA from 1 species